rnacentral:rRNA from 1 species
AACGAACGCUGGCGGCAUGCCUAACACAUGCAAGUCGAACGGAUGCAGCAAUGCAUCAGUGGCAGACGGGUGAGUAACACGUGGGAAUCUACCCAGUAGCCUGGAAUAACCGCGGGAAACUGCGGCUAAUACCGGAUACGCCCCUCGGGGGAAAGGAGCAAUCCACUAUUGGAGGAGCCCGCGUCCGAUUAGCUAGUUGGUGAGGUAACGGCUCACCAAGGCGAUGAUCGGUAGCUGGUUUGAGAGAACGACCAGCCACACUGGGACUGAGACACGGCCCAGACUCCUACGGGAGGCAGCAGUGGGGAAGAUUGGACAAUGGGGGAAACCCGGAUCCAGCAAUGCCGCGUGGGUGAUGAAGGCCUUCUGGUUGUAAAGCCCUUUUGGCGGGGACGAUGAUGACGGUACCCGCAGAAGAAGCCCCGGCUAACUUCGUGCCAGCCGCCGCCGUAA